rnacentral:rRNA from 1 species
UACGUAGGUGACAAGCGUUGUCCGGAUUUACUGGGCGUAAAGAGCGCGCAGGCGGUCGUUCAAGUCGAGUGUGAAAGCCCCCGGCUCAACUGGGGAGGGUCAUUCGAUACUGAUCGACUCGAAGGCAGGAGAGGGAAGUGGAAUUCCCCGGUGUAGUGGUGAAAUGCGUAGAUAUCGGGAGGAACACCAGUGGCGAAGGCGACUUCCUGGCCUGUUCUUGACGCUGAGGCGCGAAAGCUAGGGGAGCAAACGGG